rnacentral:rRNA from 1 species
UACGGAGGAUGCAAGCGUUAUCCGGAAUCAUUGGGCGUAAAGCGUCCGUAGGUGGCUUUUCAAGUCUGCCGUCAAAGACCGGGGCUUAACCCCAGAAAGGCGGUGGAAACUGAAUAGCUAGAGUGCAGUAGGGGUAGAGGGAAUUCCCGGUGUAGCGGUGAAAUGCGUAGAUAUCAGGAGGAACACCGAUGGCGAAGGCAGGUCUCUGGGCUGACACUGACGCUCAUGCACGAAAGCGUGGGGAGCAAACAGG